AUCAUUGUUUCAACAUGCUAAUUUUUAUUCAUUUUUCUCUUGAAAAGAAUUUUCAUUCAUUUAGCACUUUUCCAUAAUUGGAAAAAUUAUUCAUGGAGAUCCUAUUAUUCUCUAUCGCCAUAGCAAAACAAACCACCAUUCUGAGAAUGAAUAAAAACAAUCAAUAUUCAAAGACACAUGCACAAUACAAGCAGUAAGAAAUCAGCCCAUUGAAGAAUAAUUCGUAAUAACUUGAGCACUACUUAUAUUCAACACUGAUGCA
rnacentral:lncRNA from 1 species